AUUGACCGCUGGCGGCAGGCCUAACACAUGCAAGUCGAGCGAGCGGCGGACGGGUGAGUAAUGUAUGGGGACUGCCCGAUAGAGGGGGAUAACUACUGGAAACGGUAGCUAAUACCGCAUACUAUCGGCUGACCCAUAUGGGAUUAGCUCGUAGGGGAGGUAAGGGCUCACCUAGGCGCCGAUCCCUAGCUGGGCUGGGAGGAUGAUCAGCCAAACUGGGACUGUGACACGGCCCAGACUCCUACGGAGGCAGCAGUGGGGAAUAUUGCACAAUGGGCGCAAUCCUGAGGCAGCCAUGCCGCGGGUAUGAAGAAGGCCCUGGGGUUGUAAAGGACUUUCAGUCGGGAGGCGUUACCGACAGAAGAAGCACCGGCUAACUCCGUGCCAGCAGCCGCGGUAAUUC
rnacentral:rRNA from 1 species